rnacentral:tRNA from 1 species
UAGUAAGAAGCAAUAAUUGCAUUUAGUUUCGACCUAAAAAUUUGGUUUUUAACCCUUACUUU